rnacentral:tRNA from 1 species
GCGACCGGGCAAAUGGUGCCGCCGAAGCCCAACUAUCUCUCAAACAGUAGGUUAUCCGUUCGAUUCGGGUAAGCCGCACCA